UACGUAGGGCGCAAGCGUUGUCCGGAAUUAUUGGGCGUAAAGAGCUCGUAGGCGGUUUGUCGCGUCUGCCGUGAAAGUCCGGGGCUCAACUCCGGAUCUGCGGUGGGUACGGGCAGACUAGAGUGCAGUAGGGGAGACUGGAAUUCCUGGUGUAGCGGUGAAAUGCGCAGAUAUCAGGAGGAACACCGAUGGCGAAGGCAGGUCUCUGGGCUGUAACUGACGCUGAGGAGCGAAAGCCAGGGGAGCAAACGGG
rnacentral:rRNA from 1 species